rnacentral:rRNA from 1 species
AUUGAACGCUGGCGGCAUGCUUUACACAUGCAAGUCGAACGGUAACAGGCCUUCGGGUGCUGACGAGUGGCGAACGGGUGAGUAAUGCAUCGGAACGUACCCAGAGGUGGGGGAUAACGCAGCGAAAGCUGUGCUAAUACCGCAUGUGAUCUGAGGAUGAAAGCGGGGGACCGAGCAGCAAUGUUUGGCCUCGCGCCUUUGGAGCGGCCGAUGUCGGAUUAGCUAGUUGGUGGGGUAAAGGCCUACCAAGGCGACGAUCCGUAGCUGGUCUGAGAGGGCGACCAGCCACACUGGGACUGAGACACGGCCCAGAGUCCUACGGGAGGCAGCAGUGGGGAAUUGUGGACAAUGGGCGCAAGCCUGAUCCAGCAAUGCCGCGUGCGGGAAGAAGGCCUUCGGGUUGUAAACCGCUUUUGGCAGGAACGAAACGGUGUCCGCUAAUACCGGGCGCUAAUGACGGUACCUGCAGAAUAAGCACCGGCUAACUACGUG